rnacentral:rRNA from 1 species
GGUAGUCCACGCCCUAAACGAUGUACACUAGUUGUUGGGGUGCUAGUCACUUCAGUAAUGCAGUUAACACAUUAAGUGUACCGCCUGGGGAGUACGGUCGCAAGAUUAAAACUCAAAGGAAUAGACGGGGACCCGCACAAGCGGUGGAGCAUGUGGUUUAAUUCGAAGAUACGCGAAGAACCUUACCUGGACUUGAUAUCCUUGGAAUACUGUAGAGAUACGGUAGUGCUAGUUUACUAGAGCCAAGUGACAGGUGCUGCACGGCUGUCGUCAGCUCGUGUCGUGAGAUGUUGGGUUAAGUCCCGCAACGAGCGCAACCCUCGUGUUUAGUUGCUAACAGUUUGGCUGAGCACUCUAAACAGACUGCCCACGCAAGUGGGAGGAAGGUGAGGACGACGUCAAGUCAUCAUGGCCCUUAUGUCCAGGGCUACACACGUGCUACAAUGGUUAGGACAAAGAGCAGCGAUACGGUGACGUGGAGCAAAUCUUAAAACCUAAUCUCAGUUCGGAUUGUUCUCUGCAACUCGAGAGCAUGAAGCUGGAAUCGCUAGUAAUCGUAAAUCAGCAAUGUUACGGUGAAUACGUUCCCGGGUCUUGUACUCACCGCCCGUCACACCAUGGGAGUUGAAUUCACCCGAAGCCGGAAUGCCAGACUGGCUACCGACCACGGUGGGUUCAGCGACUGGGGUGAAGUCGUAACAAGGUAACCGU